CCUCUAGUGGACAGCAGCCAUAUCACAGACUGUUGUCUCUUUGCUGAAGAUGAAUCAAGAAUUAUGGUUUAUUGGCAGAUUUUACAGUGUAAAAAAGGACUUUGUAAAUUUGCAGAAGCCUAUUGGAAAAAAUUUGCAACUGGUUUCCAGACACAAAGCCAUUAAGCUGGAGUUAUCCUGGUUUGUCAGCCCUGCAGAGGAGCGGCUUGGGAAUUCCCCUGGGACAUCACCCUGAAAUCAGUGCAUUCAAUCAACUCAGCCUUAAAGAAUGGGUUGGUCUUGGACUUCACUUCCAACUUUGUGGAAACAGUUUGGGGAAGAACCCUUCUUGUUCCAGCAUGACUGAGCCCCAGUGACUAUAGCAACUCCAUAAAGGCCAGACUGGGUGAGUUUGAUGUGGAAGAACCUGACUGGCCCUCACAAAGCCUUGAUCUCAACCCCAUCGACACCUUUGGGAUGAUCUAGAACAGAGAUUGUGAGUCAGACACUCUUGUCCAACAUCAACUUCUGACCUCACAAAUGCUCUUCUGGAUGAAUAGACAUAAAUUCCCACAGACUUUCUCCAACAUCUUGUAGAAGCUUCCCAGAAGAGUGGAAGCUGUUAGAGCUGCAAAGGGGGAUCAACUAAACAUUAAUGCCUAUGGAUUUAGAAUGGGAUUCAUAAAAGCUCCUGUAGGUAUAAUGUGGAGGUGUCCCAAUACAGUUACUUACUGUAACUAAUAAUUUGUUUAUUAUUAUUUUUUCCAUCAUUUGUUUAUCACUUAUCAUUGAGUUUCUCAUUACUGUGAUUGUAUAAUAAGACAUGUUGUACCGACUUUGUACCGUAUCACCCACCGAAACAAGAUCAGUGUAAACACUUUUGCCCUCCAUGUAUUUAACGAGCGCUGCCCCCUCUGAGAGUGCAGGAUGUAAGCGAUGUGAGUGACAGAUGAAGUGUUUGGGGGCUGAGUGCUGGAAUAAGACCUGGCGCUGAAAGCCCAGCUGCUCCCUCGGUCAGAUACCGGCCUGCAUGUGGUGACCAGGUGGCGUCUGCCUACCGUCAUGCACAGACAGGACACGAGAGCUCAGCCAACACGCACACUCCUCCUCCACCUCUGUCACAAAAACAGGCCCGUUCCACUUACCUACCCUGGAGAUGAUGGAUUGAUGGAGCUCUGAGUGGAACAGGCCUCAGUCUGGAGUAAACAAGCGCUAGGUUCGGACUCCUGUGUUGAAGAGUGAGAGUGAGGGGUUAUUUUCCAAUUUUACACCUCUGCUAGAAAGAAAGACCAGACUGUGUUCGGGACCCGGACAGGAUAAAAGAUCUCGGCCCACAAAUUUGAGUCAGAAUUGGUUUAAAAAUGAAUGUUCAAUCAAAGUCAAAGUCAGCUUUAGUACCAUUUCUUCUCAUCACAGAUGACAAGUUUCUACAGGACGCUGUGUUACAUUUAACACAGACAAUAAACAAGGAACACAGGCAAACUACACAAUAAAGCUGUCGGUACAGUACACAGUCACUACAACACAAACACUCAGCACAGCACAGAAGAAAGUAGACAUGAGUAAAACAGACCAGCUACAAUCAUUGCUGCUGGGAUCACCACCUAGUUUAUCAUAUUUGUUUUUAAUUAACUAUUUUUUUUAUUAACAUUUUAAAAUCCCAGUCUUAUUACACACUAAGGCUUAUUAUUCAGUAAAUACUUCAAUACAAAGUACUGACCAUUUAAGGAGUAAACAUUAGCAGUAUUAACAAAUACAAAGUAUUCAGAUAAUAUAUAUAUAUAUAUAUCGCUGUUGUCGGGACAAAACCUUGUAUAUCCAUUUUUGAUGUUUUUCAGUUUUGACAUAAUUUGA